AUUCCUAAACCUUCAAGUCCACAUGUUAAAAUGUCGUUGAGCAAAACAUUUAAACUCGGGUGAUAAUGGUUUUAAAGGUUGGUAAUGCUGCUGGGUGUCAAACCUAAAAUCUCUUAGGACCGAGAAGAGACAACGCUUUGCGGGACAAAUUCAUCUCUCUAAGGACGAAGACAACGCUUCUGUGGACAAAUGAAAUCUUUCAAGUAGUGAGGAAUUUUAAUCUUUUAGGACUAAUAUGAUGUCAUGGUGGACAAAUUAAAAUGUAGAGGAAUUAAAACAACACGCGGAGUACAAAUUAAAAUCUUUAAGGAUAAAAGAAAAGACAGAGAUAAAUAUUUGGUUAAGGCUUGGUCCAGUGACUUGGACCACCAUAGACAUAUUCUGAGGACCACCAGGAGCUGCAGUCACCUUUCAGGUUAAGGCAAAAGUAAGUAUCAGUCCCAGACAGAGCAGCUGGCAGUGAGACUGCUUCUUCCAAGAUUCUCUCUGUGCUUCUGUCUCUGUUUUCCUCUCUACUCUCCCAUGUUUCAGGGUGUAGUAGCGGUGCUUCCCCACACGGUGCUCUCUAAUAUAGUUAAUUGUUCUCACCUGUUCCUCCACUAAUCCACUCUCCCAGUUCUACUCUUUCAGGUUUUAGCUGCUCAUCGCUGGAUUCUUUCAUCGUUGUCCAUGUGGUUCCUGCUUGUCCAGACUGCUCAGAUCUCUGAUGUUCUGAUCAUCCCAGGUUGGAUCUCCUGAGCCUGGAAUCCUCCACCUUCAACACCACCAGUCAGGUGGAGGAAGAUAAGAGAACCCAGUUGGUCAAAAAAAUUGACCAACAAUUAAAGCAGAAGACCUGCUCCACCUGCUGUUCUACUGGUUGGAAGAGAUUGUGGAAAAGCAUCAGCGAGACAAGACAAGACUGGACCAAUGAGGAGAGAGAAGACACAGAGGACUGAGGAGACGCUGGAAAUCCUGCUGGAAAUCCAGAGAAGAUGUUUCCUGAUGCAUCAGGGGGACAACUGAGGACGGGACACAGCAUAAAGAGACAGAGAUCAUGUGAAAUUCAAGGAUGGCCUUUCAACCCUGGAUGUCAUUUAUGCUUCGGAGCUUCAUUCUUCUGUGUUCAGGCCCUUUAUGUGCACAAGGGUGGAAAAGCUGACAUCAGAAAUGUUAGAGGAAAUCUGUGAAGUUCAGCUCAGCGAAAAGGACAGCACCAGACGACAAGAAGAAACCAGACUGCUAGGAUUCUCCUUGAGACAGACCAAACCUCGCUUUCCUGUUCAAACACUGUCAAGAUACCAAAGCCCAAAACAAAUGAUCAAUUCCAAAAAACAUGGACUUUGGGAUAAAAACUCUUUGGACUUUAUUAAGUUCAAAUACAGAAUCACAAAACAUAAAUGUGGAUGUUGGCCUGUGAAGGCAGAUGUUAACUUGUGAAACCUGCUCUGUUCAACUGUCACUACCAACUGUUAUGACUAUUGUUGAAAACUGUUGUAAUGCUUCAUUGUAUUUACAUGUAAAUAUUAGAAAUGAACAUUUUUAUGUCAUCAAAAAUUGUUGCAAUAAAAAGUGACAUACUAUUAA